rnacentral:rRNA from 1 species
GACGAACGUUGGCGGCGUGCUUAACACAUGCAAGUCGAACGGAAAGGCCUAGCUUGCUGGGUACUCGAGUGGCGAACGGGUGAGUAACACGUGGGUGAUCUGCCCCUGACUUUGGGAUAAGCCUGGGAAACUGGGUCUAAUACCGGAUAUUCAUUUUUCCUCGCAUGGGGAUUUGUGGAAAGCUUUUGCGGUUGGGGAUGGGCCCGCGGCCUAUCAGCUUGUUGGUGGGGUAAUGGCCUACCAAGGCGACGACGGGUAGCCGACCUGAGAGGGUGAUCGGCCACACUGGGACUGAGACACGGCCCAGACUCCUACGGGAGGCAGCAGUGGGGAAUAUUGCACAAUGGGCGCAAGCCUGAUGCAGCGACGCCGCGUGAGGGAUGACGGCCUUCGGGUUGUAAACCUCUUUCAGCUCCGACGAAGCGCAAGUGACGGUAGGAGCAGAAGAAGCACCGGCCAACUACGUG